rnacentral:rRNA from 1 species
GACGAACGCUGGCGGCGUGCUUAACACAUGCAAGUCGAACGGAAAGGCCCUUCGGGGUACUCGAGUGGCGAACGGGUGAGUAACACGUGGGUGAUCUGCCCUGCACUUUGGGAUAAGCCUGGGAAACUGGGUCUAAUACCGAAUAGGACCACGCGCUUCACGGUGUGUGGGGGAAAGCUUUUGCGGUGUGGGAUGGGCCCGCGGCCUAUCAGCUUGUUGGUGGGGUAAUGGCUCACCAAGGCGACGACGGGUAGCCGGCCUGAGAGGGUGACCGGCCACACUGGGACUGAGAUACGGCCCAGACUCCUACGGGAGGCAGCAGUGGGGAAUAUUGCACAAUGGGCGCAAGCCUGAUGCAGCGACGCCGCGUGAGGGAUGACGGCCUUCGGGUUGUAAACCUCUUUCAAUAGGGACGAAGCGCAAGUGACGGUACCUAUAGAAGAAGCACCGGCCAACUACGUG